AGUGAACGCUGGCGGUAGGCCUAACACAUGCAAGUCGAACGGCAGCACAGUAAGAGCUUGCUCUUACGGGUGGCGAGUGGCGGACGGGUGAGGAAUACAUCGGAAUCUACUUUUUCGUGGGGGAUAACGUAGGGAAACUUACGCUAAUACCGCAUACGACCUACGGGUGAAAGCAGGGGAUCUUCGGACCUUGCGCGAUUGAAUGAGCCGAUGUCGGAUUAGCUAGUUGGCGGGGUAAAGGCCCGCCAAGGCGACGAUCCGUAGCUGGUCUGAGAGGAUGGAUCAGCAAAAUUGAACUGAGGCACGGGCCAAGACCCUACGGGAAGGAAGCAGUGGGAAUAUUUGACCAAGGGGGGAAAGCUGGUCCAAGCCUAACGGCGUGGGUGAAGAAGGCUUUCGGGUUGUAAAGCCUUUUUGUUGGAAAAGAAAGGAAGCAGUUUAAUACCCCGCUGUCCGGACGGAACCAAAAGAAUAAGCACCGGUUAAUUCCGU
rnacentral:rRNA from 1 species